GUGCCAGCCGCCGCGGUAAAACGUAGGACACAAGCGUUAUCCGGAGUUACUGGGCGUAAAGGGCGUGUAGGCGGAUUUGUAAGUCUACUCUGAAAGCUUCUGGCUAAACUGGAAGAGGCGAGUGGAGACUGCAAGUCUAGAGUGAGGAAGAGGAAAGUGGAAUUCCGCGUGUAGUGGUGAAAUGCGUAGAGAUGCGGAGGAACACCAGUGGCGAAAGCGGCUUUCUGGUCCUUAACUGACGCUGAGGCGCGAAAGCAUGGGGAGCGAACGGGAUUAGAAACCCUCGUAGUCC
rnacentral:rRNA from 1 species